GACGAACGCUGGCGGCGUGCCUAACACAUGCAAGUCGAACAGUGGCGAACGGGUGAGUAACACGUGAGUAACCUGCCCUCCACUUUGGGAUAACUCCGAGAAAUAGGGGCUAAUACUGGAUAGUGGGGGAUGGGGUCGGGGCCUAUCAGUUUGUUGGUGAGGUAGUGGUCACCAAGUGGUGACGGGUAGCUGGCCUGAGAGGGCGACCGGCCACCCUGGGACUGAGACACGGGCCAGACUCCUACGGGGGGCAGCAGUGGGGAAUAUUGCACAAUGGGCGAAGGCCUGAUGCAGCGACGCCGCGUGGGGGAUGACGGCCUUCGGGUUGUAAACCUCUUUCAGCAAGGAAGCGUUACUUGCAGAAGAAGCGCCGGCUAACUACGUGCCAGCCGCCGCGGUAAUUC
rnacentral:rRNA from 1 species